rnacentral:tRNA from 1 species
CGCGGGAUAGAGCAGCGGUCAGCUCGUCAGGCUCAUAACCUGGAGGUCGGGGGUUCGAAUCCCCCUCCCGCAACCA